AUGUCACAAAUCCCUAAUCCAAUUUCGCUCCUGCAAUCAGUUUCUAUCUCCCUUCUCCCUCCCGGCAUCUCCUGUCCAUCAUCUCCGGCGUCUCUCGUCCGUCCUCGCUGCCCCAGAUCGAUAAGGUGCUGCUGCUUCUGUUUCCGGCUUCCCUCGUCCGUCGUCGCUGCUUCAUUUUCCUCGCUUCGUUCGCCCUGUCUUCUCCGGCGUCACAGCGUUCCCAAUCCGGCUUCACAUCUUCGGCGUCACAGCGUCCCAUCAUCUCCGUCUUCUUUGGAGCUGCCACUGCUGCUGCUCGCCGGCAUCACAGCGUUCCCGCUCCCGCGUCAUAGCAAAUCAUAUCUGAGAGAAUUGGAAUUAACUGAAGAAGAAAUAAAGGGUUAUACUCUUAUGGAAAUAGAAAAGAUACUAAGAAGUAGUGGAAAAAGUCUCCGAGAUUUUCAAUCAAUGUCGUUUCCAUAUGCAGAACAUUUUUCCCACUAUCAAAAUAGACUUAUACAAGAUGAAUUAUGGUACAACAAAAAUGCCCUGUCCCAAUAGCACAUUAAACUGGUGUCUAAUCUGAUUGAUGAGCAACAACAUGUCUAUGACAUUGUGAUGGAUGCAGUGAGGUUGAAUAGAGAGGUGGUAUGUUUUUUGUAUUGGAUAUGGAGGAUUUGACAAGACCUUUGUGUGGAAAACUCUAUCCACAGCUCUAAGAUCAAAUGGAGAAAUCGUGUUAAAUGUAACAUCGAGUGGAAUAGCAUCUCUCUUUCUACCUGGUGGGAAUAUAAUGAUUGAAGAUCUUCUGGUGAUGGGAAAUGCUGCAAUGAUGUUAUUGAUAUCAAAGAAUUCAUGUUGAAAAGAUGUGGAAUUUCUCUCAAUUCUUUGCCUCAAAGAAUGAAGUGUUUUGGGGCUGGUUCUUUCUCAUAUUUGGCUCAAUUUUCUUUACGGGUUUCUUCUAUGCUGCUGUUAUAUCAAAGUUUCUUCCACCAUCAGAUAAUUCUCUGAUAUCUGCCAUACAAAAUGACAGGUAUUACUGCUUCCUGGUGCCCUUGACACUUCCGGUCCUUGUUGUUGCCGUAUAUUUUCAUUGGCUGAGUAUGAAAUUUUUUAAGCAUGCUUGAUAUUCUGCACGUAUUUCAUACAAUGGUCAUGAUCUACGCACACCAUUCAUUUGGUUUUAUUGAAUUUUCUGUCUUUAUUAGUAUCACCAAUGUUGCUACUCUGCCAGUGAUGUUUUUGUUGGGUUGUAUCCUUUUUUGUCUCUAUCUAUUCAAUCUGCCUCUGUGCGCCUCUUUCUGAGUAACUUACUAGGUUUUGGGGCUGGUGGUGCACCAAAACAAAACUAGAUUGCUUUCAGCUAUCUUUUGCCAAGCUAUUCCAUAUAAUGGCAUUCAUUAUUUUUGGUCUUAUUCAAGGUUCACAUGAUGAAUAUAAUGUCACAAGAAGCAGGUACCACCAGGCUACUAGCUGGCAUUUUGAAUUUAGUUUGUCUAGUAACAACUCAAGGUGCAGCUUGAUGGAGCGGAUAGGACACCCUACUUUUUGGUGGGUAUCGCUAAUGACUUCGAGUUAUAGUUCAAGUUCUACUUGUUUGUAAAGUAGUUGUAUUUGCCUUGUAAUAGGAGUUUCUUGUUCAAAGAUAUUUGAGGGACACUGGAUUCAAUUGUAUCUAUUAGCUAGGAUCUGUUUGGUGUAUGGUUAUGCUUCACUUUAGUUGGUGUAGAAAAAUAACUUGAUUGGGAAUACAAAAUAGUUUCUAUAGGCAAGAUAUUGUUUGAAAAUUAUUCUUAGAUUU